rnacentral:rRNA from 1 species
UCCUACGGGAGGCAGCAGUGGGGAAUAUUGCACAAUGGGCGAAAGCCUGAUGCAGCAACGCCGCGUGAGUGAUGAAGGCCUUCGGGUCGUAAAACUCUGUCCUCAAGGAAGAUAAUGACGGUACUUGAGGAGGAAGCCCCGGCUAACUACGUGCCAGCAGCCGCGGUAAUACAUAGGGGGCUAGCGUUAUCCGGAUUUACUGGGCGUAAAGGGUGCGUAGGUGGUCUCUUAAGUCAGGAGUGAAAGGCUACGGCUUAACCGUAGUAAGCUCUUGAAACUGGGAGACUUGAGUGCAGGAGAGGAAAGUGGAAUUCCUAGUGUAGCGGUGAAAUGCGUAGAUAUUAGGAGGAACACCAGUAGCGAAGGCGGCUUUCUGGACUGUAACUGACACUGAGGCACGAAAGCGUGGGGAGCAAACAGGAUUAGAUACCCUGGUAGUCCACGCCGUAAACGAUGAGUACUAGGUGUCGGGGGUUACCCCCCUCGGUGCCGCAGCUAACGCAUUAAGUACUCCGCCUGGGGAGUACGCUCGCAAGAGUGAAACUCAAAGGAAUUGACGG